GGGGUGAGGAGGCCGCCGGAGUCCCUAGACUGCGAGCGCGCGCGCCGCCUCCCCCGCCGCGUCACGGCUCCCAGGCCUGCCCUCCUCUGGUCCCUCCUCCCGGCUCCGUUUCCCCCUCCUCUCACCCUCCCUCUCCGACAGAGCGGUGACUUAAGCAACGGAGCGCGGUGAAGCCCAUUUUUCUCCUUCCUCGCAGCCGCGCCGGGCAGCCCGCGGCGCGCGGCCCCUACACUCCGGCCCGAGAUGAAUGCUGCGGCAGAAGCCGAGUUCAACAUCCUCCUGGCCACCGACUCGUACAAGGUUACUCACUAUAAACAGUACCCACCCAAUACAAGCAAAGUUUAUUCCUACUUUGAAUGCCGUGAAAAGAAGACAGAAAACUCCAAAAUAAGGAAGGUGAAAUAUGAGGAAACAGUAUUUUAUGGGUUGCAGUACAUUCUUAAUAAGUACUUAAAAGGUAAAGUAGUGACCAAAGAGAAGAUCCAGGAAGCCAAAGAGGUGUACAAAGAGCAUUUCCAAGACGAUGUCUUUAAUGAAAAGGGAUGGAACUACAUUCUUGAGAAAUAUGAUGGGCAUCUUCCAAUAGAAGUAAAAGCUGUUCCUGAGGGCUCUGUCAUUCCCAGAGGAAAUGUUCUCUUCACAGUGGAAAACACAGAUCCAGAGUGUUACUGGCUUACAAAUUGGAUUGAGACUAUUCUUGUUCAGUCCUGGUAUCCAAUCACAGUGGCCACAAAUUCUAGAGAGCAGAAGAAAAUAUUGGCCAAAUAUUUGUUAGAAACGUCUGGUAACUUAGAUGGUCUGGAGUACAAGUUACAUGAUUUUGGCUACAGAGGAGUCUCUUCCCAAGAGACUGCUGGCAUAGGAGCAUCUGCUCAUUUGGUUAACUUCAAAGGAACAGAUACAGUAGCAGGAAUUGCUUUAAUUAAAAAAUACUAUGGAACGAAAGAUCCUGUUCCAGGCUAUUCUGUUCCAGCGGCAGAACACAGUACCAUAACAGCUUGGGGGAAGGACCAUGAAAAAGAUGCUUUUGAACAUAUAGUAACACAAUUUUCAUCAGUGCCUGUAUCUGUGGUCAGCGAUAGCUAUGACAUUUAUAAUGCGUGUGAGAAAAUCUGGGGUGAAGAUCUAAGACAUUUAAUAGUAUCAAGAAGUACAGAGGCACCACUAAUAAUCAGACCUGAUUCUGGAAAUCCUCUUGACACUGUAUUAAAGGUUUUGGAUAUUUUAGGUAAGAAGUUCCCUGUUACUGAGAACUCAAAGGGCUACAAGUUGCUGCCACCUUAUCUUAGAGUUAUUCAAGGGGAUGGAGUGGAUAUUAAUACUUUACAAGAGAUUGUGGAAGGCAUGAAGCAAAAAAAAUGGAGCAUAGAAAAUGUUUCCUUUGGUUCUGGUGGAGCUUUGCUACAGAAGUUAACAAGAGAUCUCCUGAAUUGUUCCUUUAAAUGUAGUUAUGUUGUAACCAAUGGCCUUGGGAUUAAUGUCUUCAAGGACCCGGUUGCUGAUCCCAACAAAAGGUCCAAAAAGGGCCGAUUAUCUUUGCAUAGGACACCAGCAGGGAAUUUUGUUACACUUGAGGAAGGAAAAGGAGACCUUGAAGAAUAUGGUCAUGAUCUUCUCCAUACUGUCUUCAAGAAUGGGAAGGUGACAAAAAGCUAUUCAUUUGAUGAAGUAAGAAAAAAUGCACAGCUGAAUAUCGAACUGGAAGCAACACCUCAUUAAGCUUUGUUUUAUGACUGGGUAUGUGUGUGCGUGCCUGCGUGUGCGUGUGUGUGUGUUUACGUGCAUGCACACACGUAUACACCUGUGUGUGUGAGUAUGUAAUACAUAAUGUUUAUUGUACAGAUGUGUGGGGUUUCUUUGUGUUUUAUGAUACAUUUCAGCCACAUUAUUUGUUGGUUUAUGGACAUACUGCCCUUUUCAUUUUUUCUUUUUUCCAGUGUUUAGGUGAUCUCAAAUUAGGAAAUGCUCUUAACCAUGUAAAAGAUAAUUGCUAAAGUAAGCUUUUUAGGGCCCUUUGCCAAUAGAUAGUAAUUCAAUCUGGUAUUGAUCUUUUCACAAACAGAACCAAGAAACUUUUAUAUAUAACUGAAGAUCACAUAAAACAGAUUUGCAUAAAAUUAUCAUGAUUGCUUUAUGUUUAUAUUUAACUUGUAUUUUUGUACAAACAAGAUUGUGUAAGAUAUAUUUAAAGUUUCAGUGAUUUAACAGUCUUUCCAACUUUUCAUGAUUUUUAUGAGCACAGACUUUCAAGAAAAUACUUGAAAAUAAAUUACAUUGCCUUUUGUCCAUUAAUCAGCAAAUAAAACAUGGCCUUAACAAAGCUGUUUGUUUUAUUGUACAAUUUGAAAAUUAUGUCAGGACAUACCCAAUAGAAUUACUAAACCUCACUGCCCCUUGUAGAAUAUGUAUUAAUCAUUCUACAUUAAAGGAAAUAAUGGUUCUUACUGGAAUGUCUAGGCACUGUACAGUGAUUAUACACGUUGGUCAUUGUAUUGUACCAGUGAAAUGCCAAAUUUGAAAGGCCUGUACUGCAAUUUUAUAUGUCAGAUAAUGCCUGUGGCUCUAAUAUGCACCUCAAGAUUUUAAGGAGAUUUUUAGAGAGAAUUUCUGCUUACACUCUAGAAUAUAUACAUAAAUGUAAAAUAUUGACAGAAAUGGAAGCAGUGUAUUUUAAAGUAAUUACACUUCUGAAUUUAUUUUUCCUAUUCUAUAGUUGAUAUGACUUAAAUGAAUUACUGGAAUGGGUAGUGAGUGUACUUAUUUUUAAUGUUUUGAUUCUGUUAUAUUUUUCAUUUUUUUCAAAAAUUAAAUUGGAUAUUCAAUUUUAUGGACAUCAUUUAUUAAUUUUAAACUGAAUCCCUCAAUAAAUAAUGCUCAGGCAAGUUCUUAAAUGAAGAUAAAUUAUCCCAAAUGAAAAGCAUGAUGACAUGAGUUUGAAUAAUCCGAACCAGAAGCGGAAAGUUGGCUAAAUUCGGUGUUCAACGUCAACGUGUUCUAGAGUGAUUAAACUGCUAGAUUCUGAGUCAGUCAUCACAUUGGACUAGAGACCAGGAUGUUUUAGAUGUCCUUUCUGUUCUACGGCAGAGAUUGGCCAGCUGUGGCCUGCAGGCCAAAUUCGGACUACUCUUUCUGUAAAUACAUAUUGUCUAUGGCUGCUUUCUCACAAGAACAGCAGAACUUGAGUCAUUGCAGUAGUGACCCUGUGACCCCCAAAGCCUGAAAUGUUUAUUAUCUGGCCCUUUACAGAAAAGUGUGUCAACCCUGUUGUAAGAAAAGGAGUGUGCCUUGAGACGGAGUUUUUCGCUCUUUUGUCUUUUCUCAUUUAAGAACCUGAUAUUAGAAGAGUAUUUAGAAAAGCUUUAACAACAUGACAUUAAAAGUGAAAUUUUAAAAAUGGAAAAGCCAUAAAUCAUUUGGCCUAAACAGUUACAUGAGAAAAUAUUUUAUCACUAGAGUAAUCUAAUUAGAAGCGAGUUAUCUUUAUUAAACAUCUUUUAUAUGCAUUAUUAAGAAGAAUAUGGGAUUUUGCAGAUGAUUCUAAACACCUGUCUAAUGAGAACAGUAGGCAUCAUUCACACUUCUAGUAAGAGUUUUCAUCCUGUAAUCCCUGGUAGAAAAUAAUUUUAAGCUGAUUUAUUAUUUUUUAAAUCUAAGUAAAGAGCAGGAGUAUUAAGAACACACCUUUCUUCACAAAAUAUGCUAAGGGGCUUAUAGAGAAGAAAAAAACUAUUACCAAUAACAACUUUGAUAACCACCCAUAAUUUUGAUUUUGCUGAAACACUGCAAUUAUACUGCAGAUAACAGUCUUUAUACACUGAAUUUCAGCCGUUUCAGAGUAUCUAGAGGAGUUUUAUUUUAAAACUUUCAGUGAAUGCUAAAAUCUGUACAUUUGUACAUGGCCAUAGAUUGGGGGAUGGAAUGAUUAACUCUGUUAGCUCUUAGCCACUUGGAAUUGAUGAAUCCUGAAUCUCCAUCACGUAAGCACUUAGUAUUUGGCCAUCCCCAUUCUGAGUAGAAACUGGGUGACAUAGAUAUCAAAUAGGACUCUGUUGUGUCACCCUUAAAUUAGCCUGACUCUUGCAGACAAAAGCAAAUGGCAUGUGUGGGUUUGCUCAAGUCAUUAGAUUUGCAGUUUACAACAGUCAGUCCCCCUCAGUUCAUAAUAUCCUGAAGUAUUAUUUGUAUUUUAAAUAGGAGAUAGGAGUUCUGCGUUAAGACUCUUUAUUUGUACUCUAUACUUAAAGUAAAAUGGUUUUAAUGAUUAUCCCUUAUUUCCUUCCUUGAAAUAAAUUGUCAUGAAAAACAUUUUAUAAUGAAAUCCAUCUUGGAAAACUAGAAAGAGAAAAAUGGCAAGGUAAUUAUUGUUCUGUUUGCCAUAAUUUAGAAUUCAAACUUAAACAAGUAUUUUGUAGUUUUACAUUCCUUUUUAACCCAUCUAAUGGAGAAUGUCAGCUUUUCUCCCAAGUUGUAUGUUAAAUCAAUCUAAUAUGUAUUCAACAUCAAAGAUAAACAUGUAAUAAACAUGGAAAUAAAGUUUAGCUCUAUUAGUGAAAUGUUAAAUUUGACUGUGUGCUUCAAAUAAUGGCAUUUACAGAGUUACCUUUUUUAGGUAUUCUUCCAGUUCAAAGAAUUAGAGAAUGAAAGAGGGAGAAACAUCUAGGAUGCCUUACUUUCUGCCUUGUGCACUCUAUGGCAGUGCCUUUUACUAAGGACACUGGAGGAAGAUCAGAUUUGGGGGCAAAGAGCACAAUUCCUCAGGUACUGCUUUAUCUCUGAGAAGGACCCAGGAAAAAGGGAGAAGUGGAAGACCAGAGAGUCAAAAGAAUCAGCAUGGUACUGGGUUCCAAAGAAAGUGGAGGAGGAUGGGGUCCAAAGGAUUGGCUUCCGAUGGACAGAGUGCUUUUAAUCUAGAAGAAAGGAGAGGCUAGUGCGUAUGCAGGCUUUGGUUUUCUCUGAAAUUUGAGACCAGGGCAGAUGGUUGAAAAUGCAAGUUUUAAAACAGUUAUUGUGGAGAGUAAAGUGCCCAGAGGUGUUGGGUCCUCCACACCAUUCUGUAGUUCCCCAACUAGUUGGUGAUUGAGAACUUACACUGAAAAUUUGCCUCUUGUGGUUUUAUUUUUGUUGCCCUCCCUAGUAACACCCUGAUGCCUAGGUACAGACGCGCAGAAAAUAGAGAUAACUUGGAGUUUUGCCAGAUAAGUCUGACUAGAACAAAGGACAAUAACUGAAUAAUUUUUAAAACUGAGUUGUUGAAAAGGGUCCUACGGUACUUACACUGAAUAGGUAAGGACGUCAAGGCAACACACAGUGUUGGGAAGACAGUAGACAGCCCAAUGGACAGUCUGACGACAGCUCUGGUCUACUGGGAGUUGUUGAGCAAGCAGCUUGGGAAGGACAGAAAAUGCUAGCCUGAGACCAGGAUGCCUGGAUUAGUGAUCUGAGAAGAGCAAGUUCGUGGUGUAGUACGAUCCAAGGCGUGACCUUGCAGUGGCUACAUGAAGUUAAGGAAGAUCACUGGAGACAAAACAAGAUCACAAAGCCUAAGAAGACAAGUGGGUUGGACGGGUGGACAUUAAGAUCAUCCAGAGUCAUAGUGGAGAGGAAAACUAAGUCAGGUGGCAGUGUGUUCAGUGAAUGAAGGGAAGGGAGCAGGGGGCAGCAACAAGGAGGGGUGUGAGCCUCAAAGGGAUCGGGCAGUGGAGACCGCUGACGCAGGCAAGCCUGCAAGAGGAGGAGCUCUGCCUCCUGGAAGGGUCCAAACAUGCGUGGACGAGUAACAAACUGAUUAAAAAGUGCUUUGUGUAUUGCCAAAGGCUUGAUGUCCUUUACCAGAUGCUUAAGCACUAUUUGUUGAGUUAAUGAAUAGACGGAAGGAAGGAAUGAUCUCGGUUUAAAAUUUCUUGGUUUUGCUAGCUUGCUGCAGCAUCCCCUUUCAACUGACAUAGGGCCCAGUGUUCCAGCCUUUAAAUACAUUUUUGAAUUUUUGUUUUUAAUGUUUUAAGAGUCACAUUUUCUUUUUUAAAGAAACCAAAGCAUUCUGCGCCAGUUAAAAUCGGUCACCUCUUAUUCAGGUUAUUCCCACCUCAAAUUAUUUUAUUUUAUUCAAAAGUUUCUCUAAUUAUUAUUUAUUCCCCCCAGAGACAACUCUAUCUUAAUUGGUUCACAGUUCUUCAUUCCAUUAAAACUUAUUUAUUUGUUAUUCCAGCAAAGAGAAAUAUAUUCUUGAAUGGAAUUUUAGACUCACUCCAAUUACCAACUUCACCAAAAUUUUUUUUAACUAACAUGAAAAUGGGUCCUUGGUAAUCGAGAAUUUUGCCUGCGUGCUCUCACGUGGGCUGACUGACCCCUCACCUUAUUGGUAUAUACAGGACUCUUGGUGACUUAGUUGGUAUAUUCACAAGGGAUCUUUUUACCACUUUUCAGGGCUCAUACUGUUCUCUUGGCGAGUAGAAUAAGCUGUCAAUUGACUUUUCUACCAGUUUAUAGCAUAAUCUUUGCAGAAAAAUACAAUUUUGGUUUACAUUGAUUUAUGUUCAUCCCAAAGAAGCAUCUUUCUUUUGUUGGCAGCAAAAUACUAUUAAAAAUAUAGUUAUCCUGACUUACUUUAUUUUCUUAUCUAAUUAUUAUAAUUGCCUACUGAGCUGUUACUUCUUUGAGGUAAACUAGGGAAGACGUUCUGCAGUUUUUAUUAAGAUGGAUGGAUCAGCUGUUGGGCUGAGGAGCCCUCCUGAUGGACUGACUACGAAUUUAGUUCUUUUUAGCUCUUCCUAAGUAGCCUGAACUCUGAGCCUGGGAAAAAACAACUCUUAAUCUUCACCCUCUCCCUUUCUAGUCCUUCCUCCUCAGCCAACAAACAUGUUCCUGUUUCUCCAGUCCUUAAAAAAAAAGUCACUCCCUGAUAGCACCAGCUUAGUCGCCCUUCUCCCUUUCAUAUCCAAACUCUGUGUACACUUCCUCUCCAUUUACUGCCUCACUUGCUGUUCAUCUCCCAUCUGGUUCUCAUCCCUCAUUAAACAAAACAGACGCCUCUUGAUUGUCAAACGAAUAUGUUUAGUUCUUAUCUUACCGGAGGAUCUCCCCUGCAUUUGCCACUGUUAGUAAUUCAGUCCUUGAAACUGCUUCAUCUUGUGCUGGAACAGUUCAGGUGCCUUCUCUCUCUGGGGCUCUUCUUCACACACUUACCUUUUCAAUUUUGGCGUGUCCUGCUUAUCUCCUUAUUUAUCUCGGCUGAUCUCAGCCACUCCUGCUCUCAGCAAUCACCUGUUUAUUCAAGCCUCCACGCAUUUCUCUCUCUAGCCCAGACUUUUCUACCUGUGAUGCAUUUCCACCCAGAUACCUACUCACAUACGACGAGGCCAAACUUAUAUUCCUCCUGAUUCUCCACCUCAUUUGGGGGUUCAGCCAACCGCCCGAGCGAGAGUUCCCUCUCCAUUACCCUGCACAUGUCCUCAAUUACACAUUCCUAUUGAUUUACCUACUAAAUAAUGUUAUAAUCUGUCUUCUCUCCCACUCCCACUUUAGGCGCACAGAUCUCUUCCUGAAGCAAUACAAAACAUAUCUAACUAGAUUUUACAUCCUUAGCCGCCUCCCCCCGCUGCUGUGUACUGCCAAAAAAGUGUUCUAACAAAAUCGAAUCAUUUCAGUCCCCUGCUUAAAGCAUUUGGUGUUGUCUUUAGCCCACGAUAAUGCUCAGAAUCCAACCUAACCCACAAAACCCUCCCUGAUCUGGCCCCUGCCACACACGCAGCCUCAUGUCUUGCCCUCUGUUUUCUGUGCCAGCAUCACCUACUUGCUCUGCCUACACACACUCCUGCACGUGCACACACAUCACACCAUUUCCCCACUCCU